GAGGGGGCGCGCGGCGGGGGGGCGGGUUGUGGCAGUGCGCGCGCAUGGAUGGAUGGAUGUUCAUGGCAAUUGCAGCCUCAGCCUCUCCUGCUCUGAGUGGCGCGCGCGCUGCCAGCCCUCUCCUCAAGCGCCAAAGCGAUGCCUCACAGCGGACUUCGCUACCCGCCAGCCCUCAGCACCAUUCCUAGCGCCCCUAGCAGCCGCCGCCGCCGCCGCCACCAACACCACCACCUCCACAGCGGCUCCUCUCGCGCGCUCUCUCUCAGCACCGCCGCCGCCGCAGCCGCUCAGCUCUCGCCUCCUCUACCCGCUCCACCACAGCCUCUGCCUUGGAUGCUUGGUCGGUUCACAGUGCAAAGUUUGCUCCGCCGCUGCCGCUCCUCUGAGAGAGAGAUUGCUGGACUUCGUGUGUGUUUCUGUGCAUGUGUGCGCGCGCGCGCCUGCGCGUGUGAACGAGGCAGCCCUUAUUUAAUAGAUGUUUCGGUUUGAAUUGAGAAAAUAAUUCUGCGAGGGGUUUAUGUCGUGCAGCCUCCCCUUCGUUGUCUUCGCCGCUCGCCGCCGCCGCUGUUGGUGCUGGUGAAGAGGCGGAGAACGGACUGCUUUGAGGAGGGGUCGCUUGGUGGGGGCUUCCGCGCCUCUCUCUUCUAGUAGCCCGGCGAGGAAACUCUUGGCCAGCUCUCUCCCUUGGGGGAGCUGCAAACGUGCGCCCCGGAACCGGACUGGAACAGAUCCACCUGUCUUAAGGAUUUUCUCUCUCCCUUAAUCACCUUUCUAGGACUUGGAUACAUUGUUGGAAACUGUGAAGGAUUUACUCUCCGAUUUUUUUUUUUAAAGGAACCUUUCUAUUUUUCAAAGUCUCUCUAUAUUUUUGAUUUCCGCCUCUUUUUCGCUCCCCCUUCAAAUAUCCCGUUUAUUUCCAGCCCUCCUCUUGCUGGGGGAGUAAACAAGAGCCACGAGGAGAUAAGGGAAAUAUGAUGGUUUCGUGGUUAACUUUCGCCUUCCUUUGGGGGACUUUCUGUGCACGGCCGGGCCGGGGUGAGGCAGAGACGAGGGAAUGCAUCUAUUACAAUGCCAACUGGGAACUGGAGAAGACGAACCAGAGUGGUGUGGAGCGCUGCGAAGGAGAAAAGGACAAGCGCCUGCAUUGCUAUGCCUCCUGGAGGAACAACUCUGGCUCUAUUGAACUGGUGAAGAAAGGCUGCUGGCUAGAUGACUUCAACUGCUAUGACAGGCAAGAAUGUGUGGCCACAGAAGAAAGUCCACAAGUGUUUUUCUGCUGCUGCGAGGGGAAUUACUGUAAUGAGAAGUUCACUCACUUACCUGAAGUUACUGGCCCAGAAGUGGUAUAUGAGCCACCACCACCAACUCCCUCACUGCUCAACGUUCUGGUUUAUUCUCUGCUUCCCAUCAUUGCCCUCUCCAUCGCUAUCCUCCUGGCCUUCUGGAUGUACCGUCACCGCAAGCCACCAUACGGGCAUGUUGACAUCAGCGAGGACCCGGGUCCGCCGCCCCCUUCUCCUCUAGUUGGACUCAAGCCUUUGCAGUUGCUGGAGAUCAAAGCUAGGGGGCGCUUUGGCUGUGUCUGGAAGGCUCAGCUGAUGAACGACUAUGUAGCAGUGAAAAUCUUCCCCAUACAGGAUAAGCAAUCCUGGCAGAGUGAAAGGGAGAUUUUCAGCACCCCAGGCAUGAAGCAUGAAAACCUUCUGCAGUUUAUUGCUGCGGAGAAGCGAGGAACAAACCUGGAGACGGAGCUGUGGCUGAUCACAGCUUUCCAUGACAAGGGUUCUCUGACAGACUACUUGAAGGGGAACAUUAUCAGUUGGAACGAACUCUGUCAUGUUGCAGAAACAAUGGCUCGUGGGCUUUCUUACUUGCACGAAGAUGUUCCCUGGUGCAAGGGAGAUGGACAUAAACCCGCUAUAGCACACAGGGAUUUCAAGAGCAAAAAUGUAUUGCUGAAGAAUGACUUGACAGCCGUGCUAGCUGACUUUGGAUUGGCUGUGCGAUUUGAACCUGGAAAACCCCCAGGAGAUACCCAUGGACAGGUGGGAACCAGAAGAUACAUGGCUCCUGAGGUGUUAGAGGGGGCAAUAAACUUCCAGAGAGACGCCUUCCUAAGAAUAGACAUGUAUGCCAUGGGGCUCGUCUUGUGGGAGUUAGUCUCCAGGUGCAGAGCAGCCGAUGGUCCAGUGGAUGAGUACAUGCUGCCUUUUGAAGAAGAGAUAGGUCAGCAUCCAUCACUUGAAGACCUACAGGAGGUGGUGGUUCACAAGAAGAUGCGCCCGGCAUUCAAGGAUCACUGGCUUAAACAUCCUGGUUUGGCGCAGCUUUGCAUCACCAUUGAAGAAUGCUGGGACCACGAUGCAGAGGCACGCCUCUCAGCAGGUUGUGUGGAGGAACGUAUUUCUCAGAUACGCAAAUUGGUCAACGGCACUACCUCGGACUGCCUCGUUUCCAUCGUGACCUCUGUCACCAACAUGGACUUGCUGCCCAAAGAGUCAAGUAUCUAAAUCCUGGUUCACUUUUUUUUUUUUCCUCUUUACAGACUCAAUGGAUUAUUAAAAAAAAAAAGUCAAACCACAAAUCCAACACACACACACACACACAUAUGAAUGCAGCUGCUAUUUUAAUCUUGACUUUUUUACUGUUGUUGUUAUUAUUGUUGUUAUUUUUUUAAUUGGAUCAAUUUUACCAGCACAUUGCUCUACUGUAUUAAAAAAGAAAAAAAAAAGAAAAAAAAAGAGGACAUCUCAUUCGGGUGCCGACUAAUGAAUGCAGACACGGUGCAGGUACCUCAAAACCUCAACGGACUAACUUUGUUUCCUUUUUGAUCCUGGGUUUUCUCUUUUCCUGGUUUGUCUUUUUACACAGAGUAUCUGUGAUAUCAAGAACAACACCUACCCAUCUGCAAGACAUGCUGCAAACAACACUGUUGCAUAAGACCACACCUCAAAAAAGGACUCCCCCCCCCCAACUUUUCCUUUUCUUCUUUCUUUUUUGUUUUUGACAGUGAGCUUAAAAAAAAAAAGAAAAAAGCAGAUGUAUCUUUUACGGGUGUAACGGGUGUUGCUGUAAUUGUGGGGUGGGGGGAGAAACUGAGAAGAGAAUGUUAACUCUUUUAUGGUAGAAUUUAAAGGGAAAAGUUUAGUAUCAAGGCAGGGGAGAAAGACGUUGGACGUUUGCAGCAUUUGGAGAAACAUCUGUUAUGGAGCUACUUCUCAGCAUCAAUUCUCAAGAUUCGGAAGUAUCCACACAAUAUUGCUGAUGUUGAAAAAUGUGGCUAUUCUGAUGGGUUCCUGAAGCUCAUUGAUAAAUCAUCACCUGGCUAAGAGGGCAGAAGGAAGGUGGUGAAGCAAUGUUUCCCUCUACCUGUUACCAAUCCAUACACGAGCUUCAUGUGCCCUUGCUAACUUGCCUCUUGCAAGCCCUAUGAUGUUGAACUCUCUCUUCCAGUCGGCAAAGGGCUCCAGUUAAACCACAGAGUGUCAUGAUCUGAAAUUGUAAGCAUAUUAAUAGACUUUUUGAAGGCUCCUUGUGUGCUUCUGUGCUUUACUACUGCUUUACCUAGCAUACAAAAACAAGAAUCCAGUGCAUUUUCUAAAACUUCCUAACCCUUUUUCAUAAACUUAACUUUUUUUAAAAAAAAAUCUGAUUUUGUAAGAGUUCUAUGCCUUCUAAUUAUAAAGAAUGAUUAAGCCCUUUCUAUUAUUAUAAUAGGCCGUGAAGUCAUUCACACAAUCAAAAACCGUGUUCUACCUUGCUUCCACACAACCGAAAAUGAGGAGCACACAAAGCUCCCAAACCCAGGUAGAACAGUUUUUGAUUGUGUGAAUGACCUCCAUAUUUAUGGAGAGGCUGCUCUUUUUCAUCCAUUAUUUCUGAAUUCUAAUGCUAUUUGUGCCUUCAUUUAUUUUCAUGAAAAGCAACUGCUGUAAGUUCUUGGUUUUAAACUUUAUUUCCAUUGCGGGGUGGUGGGGGGGACUAUUUUUCAUUAUCCAGUUGUUUCUUCUGGAUACAGAUCUGUGAUCCAGGUAUUUCAAGAACCAAUUACCUCAAACCUCAUGUUUAAAACAGUAUUGCUCUCUAGAUUCUUCUUCAUACUGCAAGAUUGUAACAUACACAGACAAGGAGCCAUGCUACACAUGGGUGUUAAUAUAGAUAUAUAGAGAUAUAUAUAUAUGGAGAAAUGGAACUGAUCCCCUAGGACUGAUAUUUUUUUGUUUUUGUUUGUGUGUGUCCUUCCCCCCAGAUUAAACCAAAAGGUCUUCUUUGUCAAGCUCUCAAAUAGCAAUGUGUUGGAUGUAUGUACAGCAAGAGGGUGUUACUGAAAAAAGUGCUUCCUUUCUUUGAUCUUUGAAUUUCUACUGUUUUCAGUGUUUUGUUGGGAGAGAUUUCCUGGUAAUCUGGUCAAAUUUACACUGAACAUCUAGAUGGCAGAUAGGUGCCAAUGGUUCUCAUGGCCCUAUACAUACAAGACGCCCAAUGGGGCGCAAUGUGAACAGAGCAGACGACUAUAUUCAUUGGGCCUUCUAAUACAGACUGAACUUCCCCUUUACCCUAUAUGCAGCAGAUUAGAGCACUACUAUUUUCUCUGGAAUGAAAAACUAUAACAUUAUUUUCACUAAUCUUGGUUGGGUUUUUGUUUGUUUGUUUGGUCAGGGGGACACCUAGAUUAAAGAAAAAAUCUCUUUAGUCAUUUGACUUUUAUUCAGGUCACUGAUUCAUAAGAAUUAGGUCUGCAGCUUUACUAGUAUGAGUAAUCUUUCUAUCAAAAGUAUAAUUUUGAUUAAAGUUGGAUGGAAAUAGAUACUUCUUCCCUAAGUCCUUUUGAAAGUAUCAGUGUUUGUCAAAUAUUUGUUAAGCUUUUAGUGGUUACAGGAAGGGGGAUUUAAAAAUGUUUCCCCUAAUGUCAAUAAAUUAUUUAACAAUGUUUGAUACUUCAAAAGUAGUUGCUGCAGAUUUUUUAAAAAUGGUUCUUGGUCUCCAGUUCUAGACCUACAUGUUCACAAUGCUGUGACAUUCAUCUCUUCAACCUCUCUCUUAAUUUGGGUGACCCCCCCACAAUCGGAACUUGAAGGCCUACAAUCUUUCACCUGUGAAUAUUUGUCACAUAUGUCCUUAAGUUUGGUGAAUUUUCUACUGUAAAGUUGACUUAAGUACAGUUUGUCAGUUCUUGUGGAAAGAGCUUUCUGCAUUGUUAAUAUGAUUAGAUACUUAUAGUUACUCAACACAGUGUAGAACAAAAUUCAGGAAAAAUGCAAAGGAAAAAAAAGAAUAGUUUGUCUUGGGGUUUUUUUGUUUUGUUUUUUUUUGCAUUGUCUAUUUUAUCAGCUUGGUAUGCUUUAUACCAGGAAACUAAAAUAAAGCCCUAAAACUAAUCUAGCAUAGUGAGGCGUGUCUUUCAGUUUUAGGUACGUCUUAUUAAGCGGUGUUACUUAGCCUGUAAAUAGAAAGUACUUCUAAAUAAGAGUUUGCAAUAACCUGUUUUGGCAAGAUUUCCAUUCUGAGCUGUCAGUGAACUCUAGAGAUUAUAAUUAAGUAACUAGUUUAGAAAAUUGCUAAAUGCAGAAAGCUCUACCGGAUGGUGAAAUAAAUUAAAAGAUUAUUGGUCCUUUGCUCAAAUUCCAAUGUAUUGUUUGUAUACCAAGAUAUGUGAAAUGUAAAUGUUGUAGGUUAUAUUUCACUCUUGUUGCUGAAAAAAUAAAAAUAAAAUUGUAGACCAGAGAUAGCCUGUACUACUGAGUUAACAAAACUUAUACUAAGGUAUCCACUUAAAAAGAAACAAGUAUACAGAGAGUUUAGCUCAUUGCUGUGACUCCUUUUGGAUUGAAAAGUGUGCUUUUAGAGGUGUGCGCGCACACACACACACACACACACACGUAAGAUGGCCUAAAGAAGACAUCUACUGUACUGCAGUUCUGAAAUGAAAAUGUUUUGAAACAUUGUAUCAUAAUUCAUAAAUUUGCAGUGGAGCUUUGUUCCUUUUUACUGUGGUAUUUUAGAAAUGAGUCUCAUGUUUGAAAUUAGAUCUGCCAAGUUUGGGUAUUGCUACUUCAGCUAAGCACAGGCUGCCCAAAUAAACCAGUAUGAAUGUAGUAUUUUGCCCUGCAUGAAGCAGGGCCACUCCAACAAAUAGGAGGGGGGAAACGAGAAGAACUAUGUCAAAUUUAUCUUUUUUGUAUAUUAAAAUUAAACUAAAUUACAAAUAUCA